AACGAUAAUUUCGCGUUUUAAACGCCCACACGAGUAAUCAAAUAUUAGAUAAGAACAUUUAGAUAUGUAAAAUCAUUGGUAUGUAAUUUUCUAGUGUAUACAUUUAUGUAUACAUAAGAUCACUGCAAUUAAAAAGUAACAUAUGCAUUUAUGUGUAUGUUAAAAAAGUAAUUAAUAUAUUUUAUUAAGUUACUCUCAAAAUGAAGAUUAAACUUCAAAAAAAAAUAUAUAACCUUUUUU
rnacentral:misc_RNA from 1 species